rfam:Ectocarpus siliculosus strain Ec 32, whole genome shotgun sequence assembly, chromosome LG15
GUUCCGAUGGUCUAGUUGGUUAUGACGCCACCUUGACAUGGUGGAGGUCGCGGGUUCGAACCCCGCUUGGAAUA